UGGGAUAUCGCCAAGUGGUAAGGCAGCGGGUUUUGAUCCCGCCAUUCGGAGGUUCGAGUCCUUCUAUCCCAG
rnacentral:tRNA from 1 species